GACUUAGAAUUCCUGUACUGAUA
rnacentral:piRNA from 1 species